CUUUCCCCUCUUAGAUUUUUGUCAAUCCUUUCAUAACACAAAAACAGGAUAAAUUUGUUUGAGGGUUUUUGUUGUUUUUUUUUUUUAAUUUUAUUUUGUCUAAACAGUGGAUAUAUACCAACAAAAGAAGAUUGCAUGGUAUUUACUUAACCUCAACAUCUUUAUCAUCUUUUUCUUCCUUCACCACUAUGAAAAAACUCAGUCAUUCCUUUUGCAGAGUAUGCAUCUGUUGGUAGGCACUUGGUGAAGAAGAUUACAUUUUAAGUCUUUACAUUUCAUGAGUGCAAUACUGCAUGCUUAAAAACCAUAUCUUUGAUAUUUAAUGGUGUCAUUUAACACCUGAAUGGGCCACAGCCAGGAAUAAAAUUUACUUCUGUUUGACUAACAGGUUUGAUUUUGCCAGGAGUGUGACCAGAUAAAUAGAAGGUGAUUAAAAUUAAUGAAGCUGUGAAAACCUUGAAAGCCUCAGCUAAACAGAGAAUUUUUAAGCCUGGUGAGUUCUCAAGUCUUAAGAGGGCUGAAUGAAAUUCUUACCAAUUUCUUCACACUAGUACAUGCAAAGACAAAACAGCUGAGUUCCAUUGCCAUGCACUUUUCCUGUAUUGAAGACAACAAUCUUUUUCCCCCUCAGGUUUCACACUAAAAUGAAACAAUCAACUCCCUAGAAUGAAAUGCUGUCAGCUUUCAAGCUGGAGUUUCAUCUUGGAUAUGAGACUGUUCUACGACCCAUGCAGCCCCACUGUGCAAAUGGGCUGAAAUCGUGUUGUCUCCUCUGGGGUUUUCUGUAGGAAAUUCAUACCACUUCCUCAUAGUUUAAAAGCUGGAGAUGAUGAAAUGGGAUUGUCUGACCUCCUGGAAGUCUCACUACUGGCUGUCCAUUAACAUACACCUUUUGCAGCAGGCUACUUUCUCAGACAUUCAUAUUAUCGGGGCAGAGAAGGUCGUUUCCUUCUGCACUCAGAUUCCAAAUGAGAGCCAGGUUUGGAGCCUUUUGGAUUCCUCCUGGGGGAAUCUGCUCCUACAGCAAAUACAGAAAACUUUCAAGAAAAACUGGAGCCUGCAGUUCUUCACUGCGAGACAGAUCAGUCUUGAUAAGCUGAGGAAUAAGAAGGAUGAUUAUCCCUUCUUCUAUUCACAUGCAACAUUAAAUACUCUCAGUUUAAACAUGCCUGAAUGUUUUCUUACCAAGAAGUGAGUCAUCUUCACUGUUUUCUACUAACCAUUAACCAAUGCAUGAUCUGGAAGAUCACACUGCUAGUGGCUGUGGCUGAACAAGGCAGCUAACCCAUUUUGGUCUCAAGGAUGUGUUUGGGUCCGCUCCUGAAAAGCAGCUCAUGGUCACUGGAAUAUGCAAUAUAUAUGUAUAGUAAUGGACAGGUCAAUAUCACUAUAGAAAGGUGGCACAGCAGAGGGGCUCAGUUCCUCUGAAGAAACGGUUGCUGAGUAAAUGGCAUGAGCUGGUGUUCUCCAAGUGGGGACAUCCUACUCUUAAACUCCAAUAUUUAUUCAGCUUGGUUCAGCUUCAGAGUGUGGAUUUUGCAUUAGAACACUUGCUAAGCAGAUCUUUUCAAAGUCUACCAUAUUACAUUUGCAGAUGGCAUCAGCUGAGUGGUGCUGUUGUCACUCCUGAGGACAAGAUGCCAUCCAGAGGGACCUGGACAAGCUCAGGGAGUGAACCCAUGGGAACCUCAUGAGCCAAGUACUCAAGGUGAAGCACAAGGUGCUGCACCUGGGUUUGGAACAGCCCCCAGUGUCAGUCCAGGCUGGGAAUGAAGGUUUUGAGAGCACCCCAAAAAGGACUUGGUGGUGGUGGUGGAUGAGAGGCUGGACAUGACCCAGCCAUGAGCAUUCACAGCCCAGAGAGCCAAAACUGUCCUGGGCUGCAUCCAAAGCAGUGUGGGCAGCAGGGGAGGGAGGGGAUUGUGCCCCUCUGCUCUGCUCUGGUGAGACCCACCAGAGAAAGAAAAUAAAUUUCUUGUGAAGGUGGUGAGGCA
ensembl:lncRNA